ACACCAAUUCGUUCAUUUGCUUU
rnacentral:miRNA from 1 species